GGAAUCUUCUUUUUACAUAGUGCUAAAGUUGGGAGUUGGGGGUGAAGUAAACAAGGGCCAUGUUAUCAUCAUGCUUACCGAAAGUAAGGUCCUAUGAAAACCAAAUUGAGAGACCACCUACUUUUUAAUGUCCUUUUGACAAAAUAAUGAUAAAUAGCAACAAGGCCCUACAACACAUGCGAAAUUUCUCCUAGCAAAAGAGAAGAACAAACAGAUAAUAUGAUCUAUUGGGGAUCCACAGAGAAGUACCACCAGUAUGUGCAAUUAAAGUGUUCCAUUUUUCUAUGCCAAAAAUAAGAUGCACUACAAAUUUAAUGGUCAGACGAUGUCUAGGGAAAAGUAGGACCAGCAGAAAAUUGUACACUCGUGAUGUUUCGAAUUGAUAACCUCACGCAAGUACGCAACACUUGAGUUGUCAGUACUCUUAAAAUAUCUAAAGCCUAAAUUAAUGCAUGGAUUCUUUGUGGGAAUUUAAAUAUGAUGAAACCUUUUCAAAUAUACUUUUAUUCAAGGGUAGUAUGCUCAGCUCGUGUCCCACACUGGAGACAUAUAAACUGUUUGUUUAUUCACCCAACGUUCCAAUUCAUAGAAGCCCUAACUUUCGCCGUGGAUUAAGAAAAGUAUGGUCAAUGCUCGUUUCGUUGCACCUACUUUAUGAUCAAGUUGUGAUUUUCCGUGCAAACGGCCAUGUUUUUCCUUAGACACAGAAC
rnacentral:lncRNA from 1 species